UACAGAGGGUGCGAGCGUUAAUCGGAAUUACUGGGCGUAAAGCGUGCGCAGACGGUCAUGUAAGUCGGGUGUGAAAGCCCCGGGCUCAACCUGGGAAUUGCAUUCGAGACUGCAUGGCUAGGGUGCGGAAGAGGGAAGCGGAAUUUCCGGUGUAGCGGUGAAAUGCGCAGAUAUCAGGAGGAACACCGGUGGCGAAGGCGGAUCUCUGGGCCAUUACUGACGCUGAGGCGCGAAAGCGUGGGGAGCGAACAGG
rnacentral:rRNA from 1 species